rnacentral:lncRNA from 1 species
ACCCACCACACUAACUCCCUUCAGCCUUUUCUUACAACAAAUACUAGCGUUUCCACUCUGUCAGACCUCAGCCUUUGGAGUCCAAGAAGCGUAGCGAUACUUGAAGCAUCUUCCUUUUCACUUCAAGAAUGGCUGGUGAUCAAGUAACCCUGUUGGAUUUCUGGUCAAGUCCAUUUGGUAUGAGAGUGAGAAUAGCAUUGGCUGAAAAGGCUGUAAAGUACGAGUACAGUGAACAAGAUUUGUGGAACAAAGGUGCUUUAUAUUUUCAACUGAAUCCUGUUCACAAGAAAAUCCCAGUUCUUGUCCAUGAUGGGAAACCUAUUUGUGAGUCACUUAUCAUUGUUCAGUAUAUUGAUGAGGUGUCGAAGGAUAAGGCUCCUUUGUUGUCUUCUGAUCCCUACGAGAGAGCUCAAUCUAGGUUCUGGGCAGAUUUUGUUGAUAAGAAGGUAAAUUAUUUUUUUGUAAAUAAAUAUAAAGGGUUCAUCUUUUGUGUUUUAAUUUCUAUUAUUGUUUGGUUUUGAGUCAUGACCUGAUUAAACCCACAUUGCAAUUUGAUUAGUUUGAAUUUUACAUCGCCAGUACAAUUAAUUAGCCUGAAGAAUAAUUUCACGCUUUAAGACGCACCACGAAAACUUUAAAAAAUGACAUAUUUAAUGCAUUAAAGACAAGAUUAGGUGCGCAGAAAACUAAAAAAAAUGAGGUUUUCCUUUUACAAACAUAUUUAAUGAAAAAAUGACAUACUUUAAUUAAUUGAUAGUGACAAUAUUGAGGUUUUCCAAGAAUAUAUCAUUGAUAGUGACAAAAUGAGGUUUUCCUAUUGGUGCGCAGAAAACUAAAAAAAAUGUUAUCACCAUCUUUGUCGCUAAAUAUUUAGCUGCUUUGAAUUUCUAACCUCUCUAACAAUUGCCCUCCUCUUUAGACAGAAAUGGAGUACUGGGACCGGAAAAUAAUAUAGAAUAAAAAAAAUAGAAAAAUAAUAUAGUUCAAUAUAACCAUGUUUUUAAAUAAUAAUUUUAUAUACAAUUAUUAUUGGAAAUAAUGAUGGUUUAGUUAAAAGAUAAAAUAUAUUAAUAAAAUUUUGGGGUUAAUUUUUUGUAUUUAUAAAUUAAUUUGCAUGAGAUAUAUAUUUUGAUUUUUAACUAAAUAACCGUUAUUUCUAAUAAUAAUUAAAAAAACAGUUUUUUUAAACUGUUCUAUUUCCAUUGAAUGUAUUUGCCAAAACAUUAACCUAAUUAUGUGUGGUGACCAUUAUAUUAAUUUGUUAUGCAAUGGUGUGAUAUGAACCUUCAGGUAUAUGAGCUUGGGAAGAAGAUAUGUACAACAAAAGGAGAAGAUCAGGAGGCAGCCAAGAAGGAUUUCAUUGACAGCCUCAAGCUUUUGGAAGGAGAGCUUGGAGACAAGCCUUGCUUUGGGGGCGAGACCCUCGGCUACGUUGAUGUAGCACUACUUCCUUUCUAUUGCUGGUUUUAUGCAUAUGAAACCAUCGGCAACUUCAAUAUAGAGGCUGAUUGUCCAAAGCUGAUUGCUUACUGUAAGAGGUGCUUGGAGAAAGAGAGUGUAUCCAAGUCCCUUAAAGAUCCACAGAAAGUCUAUGAUUUCGUUGUGAUGAUGAGAAAGAAGCUUGGGCUUGAGUAAUGUGCAUCCAAAUGCAAGGAGGUGCUAUUUCCUGUUGAGAAGUUGUUGUACUUGUGUACUGUGUGAGUUAUGUUUCAAAUAAGGGUGGCACUUUGCUGUGCCUGUAAUAUGUUUAUAGUUUGAGAGGGCACUUUGUUAAGCCUGACUGAGGAUGUGGUUUUUCUCUCUGUGAUGUUUGCCUUCAAGUAAAAAGACGGUCUUCGUUGCCCAUUGGUUCUUGAUAAAUAUAGAUAUUUAUCAUCUUAAAAGUGUGGAAAAAUCAUUUGAACUUAAAAAUCUAAGGUAUUGAAUAAGAUUUCAAAAAUUAUUUAUUCUACUUUUAAUAUUCUUUAAGCUUAAAACUUAUAAAGAUUUACAACUAUUUUGUAUUUUAUUUUAUUAACUUAAUAUUUAAUAGAAUGAAGGUAGUUGGAUUUAAAUUGAUAAGAAAUAUCUAAUUUUAAAAUUUUAAACUAUUGGAUGAGGUAUUGCACAAUUGGUUAUCAAUGAUUUAAUAAAAUGGUUAUUGAUUUAUUUAAUUAGAUGUUUUCAUAGACCUUUUGAUUUAUAUUUUGAAUUUUUUUAUGUGAAAAAACACAUCGAAAUAAUCUGCAUACUUGGUUUUGUUUUUGAAAAAAAAAUUACAAUCUGAGAACGCAGUUUAGAUAGAUAGUGCACUUAUCAAAAAUAUUUUGAACUUGAAACUUUAUAAUAGUUCAAAAUGUUUGGAAGAAAACUAUUUAUUUCCCUUAAUCUACCAUACCUAUAAAAAUUACACUGAUCUUCAUAGCAGUCUUAUUACACAUGAAUUUCUCCACAAAGCUGCUCUCCAACCUACCAUAAAAUCUCAUCCGUUACCAACUCCAACGCAGUAACCAACUGCGUUCUUUGUGCAGCAUCACUUUGGUUUCAGUAUUAGUAGAUGAGGUCGUUUUCAUAGGGGAUGGAGAUAUAACAAUCGCAACAACUCUUACCAUGGCAAUUAUGGCAAUAGCUCAGCCCAGAACUUCAGCACUCACAGUUAUACCUCAUGUCAGCAAUUUGGACAACAGGGACACCGGUUCUCCUCUGGUUCUCCCUCUUGGACAACAGGUAAUUUUAGGCAGUAAAGUAACCGUUUUGGUGGGUAUAAUUGCAAUGUAAAGUGUCAGUUGUGUUAUGAAUAUGGGCAUACUUCCCAACAGUGUUCUCAGUUGGCUACUCAUCCUCUCCAAACCAAUGUCAAUCUCGUAUUUAAUAAUGCCCCUACAACUACUCCUGUUACUUGAUUUCCUGAUACAGGUGCAAAUCAUCAUGUAACGCUGGAUCUUGCCAGUAUAACGAGUUCAGAACCUUACCUUGGUAAUGAUCAUCUGCAUGUGGGUGAUGGUUAGGGCCUUGUUAUUUCAAAUAUCGCUCACUCUAAAAUUCAUUCAUCGAAAUGCACGUUUACUUUAUCCAAUAUUUUACAUGUUCCUGACAUUAAAAAACCUUUGCUAUCUGUUCAAAAGUUUUAUUUUGAGAAUAAUGUCUUCUUUGAAUUUCAUUCCUUUCUAUUUUAUGUUAAGGAUCGCAUGACAAAGGAAGUGCUUCUUUCCAAUUGGAGUAGAGAUGGUCUAUAUGUUUUGUCCGAGUCGUCUCCAACGUCAUUGCCUCAGGUUUUCUCAUCUACAUGUCUCUCUACUUCUGCUGAUUUCUGGCAUCGUCGACUUGGGCAUCCCAGUCCACACAUUCUAUAUUUUUUGGUGAAAAAUAAAAAGGUGUCAUAUACGUCAAAUCAAUUUAAUUUUAAUUGUCCUGCGUGCCCUCUGGGCAAGUCGUGUCAUCUGACUCUAAAAACUACGGGUCAUCAAACUCGAGCUCCUCUUAACUUGAUUUUUAGUGAUGUUUGGGUCCCUCCCCUUUGUUGUCAUCUGAUGGUUUUUUCUAUUUUGUUAUCUUUGUCGAUGCUCAUACAAAGUUUAUUUGGUUUUAUCAUUUGGUUACUAAGUCUGAUGUUUUUAAUAAUUUUCAUCAAUUUUAGGCACUCGCUGAGUGCUAAUUUUUUUUAAAAUUUAAAUCUGUUCAAACAGAUUGGGGUUGUGAAUAUCAAAAACUCAAUCCAUAUUUUAAAAUGAUUGAUAUUUAUCAUCGUGUGAUCUGCCCGCACACUCAUGAACAAAAUGUCAUGGUUGAACGCUGUCAUAGAUAUAUUGUUGAAACUGGGCUUACUCUUCUUGGGCAAUGUAACGCUCCCCUUAAAUAUUGGAGUUAUGCUUUUGAAAGUUCUGUUUAUUUGAUUAAUCGCAUGCCAACUCCGUUCUUAAUCAUAAGACCCCUUUCGAAUGUCUUUUAAAAUCAUCUUCUAAUUAUGCUUUUCUUCGUACUUUUGGGCGUCUCUGCUUCCCAUUCCUUCAUCCAUACAAUGCUCAUAAGUUAGAUGUUGGUUCUUCUUCUUAUGUUUUUCUAGGAUAUAGUAACUCUCAUUUAGGUUAUCGAUGUCUUGACUUAUCAUCCAAACAUAUUUAUCUUGCUCGUCAUGUCCGAUUUCAUAAAAAAAAAUUUCCUCAAAUCUUGCUCACUGUACUCAUACUUCACACCCUUCUCUUCCAAUGUUAUUCUGACUCUCAUGCCAAAUAAGCUUACCCUUGUAUCCAACAAUGUUACAACCAUUGUUGAAGUGGCAAAAACUUCUUCAACUAAGUGAAAGAAAGAAAUUCUUCAACUAUAUCAUCCAAUCCAAUUCUCAAUUGGGUCUAAAUAAGAAAUUCUCAAUUGGAUCCUCCAUCUAUUGGGCAGUCCUCAAUUCUUUUUUCUCAAAUUUAUCUUUAUUAAUUUAAAUCAUAAAUUUUGAUAGGGGGUUAAUUUGGUAAUGUUUGAUAGAUGAGGGAUUCAAUUGAAAAUUUAUUUUGUUUAGAAACUUAAUUAGUACUCAUGUGAUAGUUGAGGAACAAAUAUACCCUUUCCCUUCCUUUUGUUUUUUUAAAAAAUCAUCUAUGUGUUUGAAAUUAUUGUUAUAAAGAAUUAAACUCCAGUGGGUUGAUGUCCUAGAAUAUCAUGUGAUUUAGAUUUUAAAUUGAAUUUAAAAAAAUAGUAAUCAUUUAAAACUUGGUUGAUAUAAGUUUUUUAGUCAUAUGUUGGCGUAAUUAAAUUUGACCAGGACAUAUCAAUGAAUUUUUUUUUAAAAAAAUUAUAUUAAUUUAUUAAAAUUAAUUAAUUUAGGUUGACCCGAUAAUCAACAACCUUUUCCAUGCCAAUUCUCCAAUUAAUACGAUAGUUAAGCUUUUUUGGAAAACUAUUGUGCUCGAUCUCUUAACGCAAAUCCAACCCAAGUCACUUUGUCAUUGAUGAAAAUAAAAGUAUAGGUGAUUAAAUAAAAUCUCACAUGCCAUUUUCUACAAUUUAACAAAUUUGAGGUAUUCAAGGAAAAUUAUUUUUUUUAUUUUUUAUUUGUUAUUUUUAUUUUUUCUAUUUAGUUUUAAAAAUUAAAAAUCAUAGUUAAUAAUUUUACUUUUCGUUUGUUUAGAAUUUUUAUUAUUUUCCUUUAUUUUUAGUUAUGUUGAUUUUUGAGUUUAUUUUAAAAAUUAUAAACUAUUUAGAGAGGUAUAUUAGUAGGUAUGGUGAAUUAUUAAGAAACAAAAAUUCAAAUUAUAAUUUUUGGUGUAGUGAUACUAUUCGAAAGAUUUUUUCAUUGAUUGUGUUUGUUGUCUUUUUUAUGUUGUUUUCAUAUGCUUUUGUUAGUAUCAGAGCUCAACAAUUUUUUAUGGUUUGAAUUACCAUGAUUAGAAGAUAUCACAAAAUAGAAUGUGCUCGUAUGGAAGGAGAUGAGAAGGUUCACCCUUGAAAAAGAAACAUUCAAGAAUUGUUGAUAAAAGAUAUAUAAAGAAAAAUUACAGAAUUAACUCAUAAACUAGUAGUGAUAAAAAUCGUACAGGCAAGUUGCAGAUUAUCUUGUUGAUUGGCAGAGAUAAAGAAAAGAAGUUUGGAAGAUUAUGAGAAGAGUAACUACUAAAAGUAUGUUUGGGAACGAGGUGCAAACCGUGUUCUCAAAAAUUUUAAAUUUUGUUUUUGCUUAAAAUGAUUUUUUUUAUGUUUUCAAAUCGUUUUGAUGUGCUGAUGUCAAAAAUAAUUUUUAAAAAAUAAAAAAAACUUUAUUUUAAUGCAUUUCUAAGCGAAAAGCACUUUGAACCGCCACUGCUACCACAAUCCCAAACAUGCCAUAAUUCAUAGUUAAAUCUAAGAACCUAUUUUCAGAGGCAUGAGUAGAUGAGGUAGCUUCUUGAUUAUAAUAAAUAUUAUAAAGAUUUUGGUAAUCCUAUUUAUGAUGAGGUAGAUGUGGAUUGAUAUUCUCUAUCAAUUUAUGAUAUUUAUUUUGAUGAUAAUUAUGUUGAUAAUGAUAGCAUAAACAAUGAUAAAAAUGAUGUCAUUAAUAGUGUUCUCAUUGAUAAGUUAAGUGUUCUAAGUGAUAAGUAAAAAGUUGAGUGCAAAUAAAUUAUUAAAGGUACUUAACAAAAUAAAAUUAUUAAUUAAAGUUAUGUUAAUCAGCUUGAUUACAUAUUUACUAUUAUCAUAAAAGUAAUUUUGUUCAAUGGUUAUAUGGAUAUAACACAUGUUGAUAAAGGAAGUUUGAGAUUUGCAAUUAAUUAAUCUAAAUUGUUAAUUGAUUUUUUUAUGUAGAAUUUAACAUGAAGAAACUAGAGUUGGUAUCUAAAAUUGUUAUACAAUCGAAGCGAAGGGAGAAAAGGAAUUGAAGAAUAUUGAUUGGACAUUUACAAGAUCGAGGCAAGAAUAAUUUAAAUUCAAGGGUUGAUUUUUUUUUAACAUAGAAAAACCGAUGCAUGAGGUUUUUAAAGAAAAUUAUUUUUCCUUAGUUAUUUUUAAUUAUUUUUAAUUAUUUUAGAAAAUUAAAUAUUAUGUUUAAUAAUUCUAUUUUUUCUAGUUUGUUUAGGAUUUUUAUUUUUUUUUAGUUUAUUUAGAUCAAUUUUCAGAUUUAUUUAAGGAGUUAUAGACCUCUUGGAAAGACAUGUUUAUUUAAUGUGGUAAAUUAAUGAGAAAUAAAAUUUUAAAUUAAGAAUGAUUCUAUUCUAUAGUAUUCUAUUGUUUGGUUUUGUUGUCUUUCUUAUAUAUUAUUUUUGCCUAAAUCAAUAAGUCAUUUGCUAAUGACUAAACAAAUGAUUGAACUAAUAGAGUUGGAUGGAAGGAUAUAAUAAUCCUUAACAAAAUUAUAAGUUAAAUAGGCAAAACCUAUAAUGACAAAAACUAAUGAUUUAACCUUAACAAAAAAAAUUUUGUACAAAGACAAAAACAUUAAAAAAAGGUAAGAGUAUAGUGACAAACCUUGUCAUUUACCCUGAAAAACUAAUGCACACAGCCUCCAUCAAUCUUGAUUGAAUGGCUUCUGGGUUGCCAUUGCUGAAUUUCUUUUUCUUCGAGCUGUAUAUGGUUGUAGCCUUUAGGAUGUGGUUAGGUUAGGUGCUGUAUAUAAAUCUUUAUGCCUACUGAAUUUAUGGACCUGGUUCCUUCAGUGAAUAAAAAAUUUCCCAUUAUGCCAAAAAAAAAACCAAAGAAAGAGAAAAAACUUAAAUAACAUAAAUAAUAAUAAUAAUAAUAAUUUUAGAGUCUUAAUUAUUAAGUUUAAUAAGUUAAAUUCUCACCCAUACUAUAUUUGAAGUAAACAAACUGUCAAAAAAUAUCUCAAUCCAAUAACUUAAACUAUUAGAUAUAUUAGGUAAGGUUCAAAGAUAUAAUUUAUAUUAUUUUCUAACAUACUAUUUAAAGUGAAAACCUUUUAAACUCAUAUUUUUUUUUUAAUCAAGGAAAAUUCACCAAUAGAAAAACCUCAAUAUUGUCACCAUCGAUGAUAUAUGUUUGGAUACUUAAAGGUGACUACCCACCAAUAUAACAAAACAUCAUCACCUAAGCCCAAAAUCUUAUCUUUAAUGCAAUCUCUUAUCCUUAAUGGCUAAUUUGUUAUAUAAAAAAGAAUUCGUGCCCAAGAACACUUGAAAUGAACAUCUUACAGACUUUUCCACCAUUCCAUAUUGUGAUGCCGAAUUUCUUCCAUGAUUUGAUAUAUUAGUCUCAAGGGCUAAUUGUACUGGUGAUAUAAUAUUCUAAUCUUCCAGGCUUAUCAAAUGGGUAAACAAAAGUUGAGAAAUGGCAAAGAAAUCCCAUCCAUAUGAUGUGGAUAACUAAGGCCAUAAGACAAGACAUUCGUUUUAAGAGUUUACUAUUGGAGGGUAUUUUGUUUUAGUAAAGUUUUGAAGGACUUUGAUGAAGAUCCUAAGUUUGAAUUUCAAAUUAGGUAGGCCGCCUGUGAAAAUAGAAAAUUUUUAUGGAAGUGUGAAUGCUUAAUUGGAAGGAAAAUAAGUUUUUUGAAGUUAAUUUGGGUGUUAAUCGGAAGAAAUUGAAGUUUGGGGAACUGAAAUUGGACUUUAAAAAGUUGAAUUGGUCAAAUUAGGGACUUAAUUGUGAAAACAAUUAAAGUUUGAUAGGCAAUUAGGGGUUUGAUUGAAGGAAUUCAAAACCAAGAACCAAAUCGUAUAAGACGCAAGAUUUUAAGGGCAUAAAUUGCCCAAAUCAUGGUUCAAAUUAAAGAAAAUUGAAAGUUUGAUGGUCAAUUAAGGGUCCUAAUGCACCAAUCAAAAAUCAAGGACCAAGAUGAAAAUGGUGCUUAAUUUUGAUGAUUGAGUUUGGUAGUGGUGAAAUUGCAUGAAACUAAGAGUUUGGGAGGCAAUUACGAGUGCAAUUAAAAUCAAUUGGAAGAAUAAGGACGAAAAUAAAAUUUGUUAGAUCCUAAAUUAUAAAGCCUAAUUUCUAGGUGAUUAACCUAGAGGACGCGCCGUUCACCCACUUUUCAUCUCUUUCCUUAACAGUUUUGAAUGAUCGGGUUGACACCUUUUGAGAGCUUGUUGUUGAGUUCUAGACCUCCAAAAGGCACGAGGUUUCUUGCAAAUGGAAGAAGAACAUCCCUUCUAUAACCUCAUUUCUAUGAAAUUAGACGUUUACUUGAUAAGUCAUCACUGUAUUUUUAGAUUCUGGAUUGAUCGAGUUGGCACCUUCAACCGAAUGAACAUGGAGCUACAAACCUCUAAAUGGAGCAAGAAUGGAUCUAAAUAAAAGGUGCACAUCUCCUCUACCAAGUUCAAGUGGUCUCCGAUAAUGUUUACAUCAGAGUUUUUCUAGUGAAGCCUUGAAAGUGGUCAACCCAGUUAGCCUUAACUAAAAUACCUAUUUGUGUAAAACCACCUAACCUUUUUGUGUGUUCAUACUUAAAAAAUCCAAGAGGAUUCCUAUCAAGAGCCAUGAAUCUUUCAUCUGAGAUCAUAAGGUGAGAAAUACAUAGCUUUGUCUCAAAGAAAGAGAAAACCAUAUAGGAAAGACCAGCAUCCCUAAAAACCAUUGAAGGAUAAAGGUUUUAGUUGUUAACAUUUGUCUAUAGCUCUCUCAUUUUGAUUAAAGGACUAAGUUUUGAUCAAUCUUUGAGGAAAUUCAAUAAAACAAACCUAGAAAAACCUUAUAAAUACUCCUAUAAAUCAAAGAAAGAAAAUGAGGGAGAAUAGAGAAAAACAUGAGGAUAUACUCUAUAAAGAGACCCUAGUAUAAAGGUUCAAAGACUUAACAUAGAAGGUCUAGCAAGCUUUGGAAAGAAUAAAAAGUGAAAGGGAAAGAAUAAAAAGUGAAAGGGAAAGAAGAAAGGAAAAAAGAAUGGAAGUAGCAGCCUAUAGCCAGCAAGAUUGGAGAAGGUAUACCCAUGUGAAAACUCGAGGUUGAGUCCAUGUAGCCUGCUCAUUCAUGCUUUUUCAAUGUUUAAUGAUGUUUUUGAAUUUUUUUGGCAUUAUUUUAUGUUUUUAGCAUUUAUAUGGAUUGAUGAAUGAAAAUGUUGUUUUGAUUAAUGUUGAUGAGAUGUUAAAAAGGUGUAAGUGUGUUUGUUUUUAACAAAGUUAGAAGUUUUGGAAUCUGUCAAAGGUAGCAAUAGGAGUUUGAUGGCUUUUACUAGGUUGCUAAUGCAUGUUCUUGGUUACUGAGUUUAGUUUAGGUCUCAAAGUGUUUAAAUAGUCAGUUUUGGAUUGAGUUUUAAUGUUUUUGUUGGUUGAUAAUAGGGUUAUAGUUUUGGAAGUUGAAAUCUUACAAAUGUUCUUGAUGAUUCAAGAACAUUUGUUAGUGUUUUUUAUUCAAACUUGUUUGUUAGGGCUAAGAGAGCAUGGUUUGGAGGCCUAAAAUGUAUUUUCUAGGUUUGAUAGUGUAUGCUGGACGUGUUUUCGGGUAAAAAUAAAUAAAUCAAAACUAGUGUUUUUAAGGCUUUGUUUGGUUUGCAACUAUUUUGAUAAGGGGAAUUUUAUCCUAAGGGUGCGUUUGACAAACAUGUCCUUAGACCUGUUUUGACAAUUUUGUUUUGAACAAAAAUAUAAUUUUAAACAUGACCCAAAAAAAUUAAAUUUGUUUUCCUUAUUACAUACGGCUCAAUCCUUAUAAAAAAAAUUGCAAUUUUAUUUAUGAAAAAGGAGAAAAAUAUUUUUAGCAUGGUUUUAGAAAAAUUGCAUCUUUUGGAAUUUACACCAAGUUUGUAAAAAUCCUUAAGAAUUUGACCAAUAUUUCAAUAACUCUAAAUUUUUAAUUCAUGAAAAUUAAUGGUCAUCAUCCUAGCAUAAAUAUUGGACCUAUAAGUAGACUAGUAUUUAAAUACUAGAAGUUGACUAGAAAAUUUACAGGAUUAUUUUAGAUAUUCACGAAUUUUAAUUGAGAGUAUUUUUAUCACAAUAUACGAGUUGUGGAGAAGCAUUUUUCCUACUAUGAUAGGUAAACCUUGUUAGUGCACCUACAUAGACCCUUGCUAUAAGAAUUUAUUUGGGCAUAUAAGCCUAUAAUAAACUCAAGAUGUCAGAUUUAUUUAUGAGAGUAAAUCUUUAUUUAGAGCCAUAGGCAGAUUAUCGAUUAGGAACCCUUCAAAAUCUUUAAACCAAUCUAGACCACAUAAUGCAGCUUCCCUCAAGUAAAAUAUGCUAGAAGUACUAAUACUUUUUGUAACCACAAUCAAUCUCUUAUCCUUAAAAUUUAUGUUAAAAUUAGCAUAGUUAUCAUACCCGACAUAGGGUUGACCCGGGCAAGGAGCUGGGUCCCAGGUUACAUGGGUUGACCAGGGUCAACCCGGAAAAAUUAAAAAAAAUAUAUUUGAAGUUUUAAUAUUUUAUAUGAAAAAAUUAAUAAACAAUCCAUAUGAAUAUAGACUAUAUAUGUUAGAAAUAAUGAAGUUUGAAAGAUUAUUUCAAAAGGUUUUUUAUUCAACAUUGAAAAGAUACUAUGUUAGUAUGUUAUUAUUUUAAGUUAAAGUAUUUAAACCAAAAAGGUUUUUUUUUUCACAUUAAAAAACAUUACUUUUUUCUUGUAAACACAUAGUAUAUAUACUAAAAGGCUUCAAAUUCCACAUUGAAAAAAUAAUUUUUUUCUUGUAAACAUAAAGUAUAUAUAUACUAAAGGAUUUUAAAUCUCACAUUGAAAAAAUAAAAUAUUCUUCUAGUAUUUAUAUAGUGAAUUUUGAAAAGGGUUAAUAACCAACUAAAAAAAUAUAAAAAAAAAAUCUCUUGCUAGGAGAAAAAACACAUUUGAAAAAACAAAAAAAAAAAGAGUCUCAUUCGGGUUUAAUCGGGUCGCCUUGGUAAUGAAUCAAUCAAGUUUUACCAGAUUUUUGCUCAUUUCAAUCUUUUAUCUUACCCAAACCAGUCGAGUAAUCAAAUUCUGAAUUAACCUAGCAGACAAAUCUAAGUUGAAUAACUAUAAAAAUUAGUGCAUUCAGGACCACAAACCAAAUUAUUUAAUAACUCCUCCUCGAUCCUAUAUCCUGCUACAUCAUAUGCGUGCAUGUGCCACAAAGCUCAACACUAUCAUUUUCGUAGAAUACUAUAUAUAUUAUAGAAGGAGAAGGAAACAAAACGACAAGGAAAGAGGCUUAUGAGAGCAUGAGGUCCUUGACGUAAUUUGCUACAAUGUUCAACAUGUCUAUGUCAUGCAAUAAAUAAGACGACUAGGAAACCCACCACACUGACUCCCUUCAGCCUUUUCUUGCAACAAAUACUAGCGUUUCCACCCUGUCAGACCUCAGCCUUUGGAGUCCAAGAAGCGUAGCGAUACUUCAAGCAUCUUCUUUUUCACUUCAAGAAUGGCUGGUGAUCAAGUAACCCUGUUGGAUUUGUGGGCAAGUCCAUUUGGCAUGAGAGUGAGAAUAGCAUUGGCUGAAAAGGGUGU